rnacentral:rRNA from 1 species
UACGUAGGGGGCGAGCGUUGUCCGGAAUUAUUGGGCGUAAAGGGUUCGUAGGCGGUCUUUUAAGUCAGAUGUGAAAGGUCACGGCUCAACCGUGGUAAGCAUUUGAAACUGAAGGACUUGAGUUAAGGAGAGGAAAGUGGAAUUCCUAGUGUAGCGGUGAAAUGCGUAGAUAUUAGGAGGAAUACCAGUGGCGAAGGCGACUUUCUGGACUUAUACUGACGCUGAGGAACGAAAGCGUGGGGAGCAAACA